ACAUGUCUGAUGGUUCUGUUUGUGUCUGUUGAGUUUGCAUCCAUUGAUUUUUUUUUUUUGUGUUUCUAUGGACAGUUUUCUUAAAUUCUUGGAACUGUAAAAUUGAUGUACUUAUCUAGCUUUUUCAACUCCACUCUGUAUAAUUUAAUGCUAAAGAUGUGUAUGUGUGUUAUGAAAUUAUAUAAAUAGAGUAAAGGAUAAGAUGGAUUGAGAAAGCAUGUGCAAGGAGUUGGUUAAUUUAGUGUGCGGAAAUCUUAAUUUCUAUAUACUUCCAUUUCAGGUAAUGAUGAAAUGAAUUGGAAUGACUCUAGACAGAGAAGUUCAAGAGAUUUUAAAACAAAAUCAGUAGAAGAUUCCCUGCAGAUCCGAAUAGACAACAAUAAUGAAAGGAGUGUACAUACAAAAUCGUCACAGGCACCAUUUGUUCAUGGCAACAACCGACAACGGAUGGGCAAAGAACGACCUGUGAAAAAAGAAAAAUCUGAUGCAACAGAUGGUCAGCGAGUGCUUGUAAAUGGAGUGUCAUAGAGCCCUUGCACAGUUGAACAUAGACAUUUCAUGCACUGUUUCAUUAAUCCAGAAGCUUCUUUGUUAGAGAAACAUGUUAGGCCAAAGAGAAUUGGGUCAGUAGGGCUGUCGUAAGACAUAAACAGCACAAUUUCAGAUUGUGUCAAAGCAUUAAAAGCUUUCUGCAACCGGUACGGGAGGCAUUUAUUUGUCCUACUGUAAUGGGAGAAUUGAAGGGGUGGGAGCAUUAGCACUGUUUUAUGUUUGUUCAUAUAAUCCUAAUAAUCAUAAAUUAAAGCGUUUGCUACCAACUGAUUUUACAUUAAGCAUACUGUAGUUUAAAACAUCAUUGUAAGAGAGUUCUUUCUUAGUAUUUAGGUCAUUUUUUCACCUUUACACUUUUUGACACUGUUCACAUCAUAACAUGGCAGAUUAGUUUUAUGUACUUGUCAUCAUUUGUCCAGAUUGUUUCAUGAUGGACUGUGUUAAAGUGUGAAGUAAAAGCUGUCACAUCAUCAAGCAAAAAAGGAGGGGAGAAUAAUGUAUGAUCUGUGCCUUUAUAAUUGGGAUGUGUAGGGAGUUUAAGUGUGUGUGUGCGUGCGCGAGUGUUUUUGUUCUUUUCCUAAUUCUUGGAUGUAAAAAAAUCAGGGAAGAUAAGUAAACACUAAUGUAAAAUAUGUAAAGAACUUGAUUAAUUAUCAAAUAUACAAGAUAAUUUUUAAACUGCAUGCUUCUCAUUAUUCAGUUCUUUUUUCCCCUCUUGAUAACUUUUCCUUGGCUUUUGCACUGACAUUUUACAUACUGUAGUAUUAUUAAACAAAGAAGUAUUUCUCAGUUUUUCAAGCAGGUAAGCAUCAAGUUCUGUGUUUACUAAAUGACGGGUGGGAUAACAAAGCAACAAAAUUUCAAAUGUUUUCCUUUUUUGGUCCUGUAAACAUGGAUCAGGUGAGUUUAAAAAAAAAAAAAAAGUUUGGUGGUCACGCAAAGUUAUGAUACGUUGCUGUGAUUUUGUCCUCCUUUUCCUUUUCAGUUAUCUUAGUAAUUAGAUGUGAAGGAAAAAGAAAAGUACUGGUAAUAUAUACGUUUUUAAUGUAACUGAUAACUUCAUACGAAGUAACUUUGUAUCUGUUAAUAUAAUGGGUGUUAAAUGUGUGGGGAAAGUGUUCUGUUACUUUUUAAGUUAAUAUUAUUGCCCAAAUCAUUUCUUGAGACUGAACAGUUUGACAUCAAAGGAACGGGGAUCUUGUAGGUUUCAGACAAUAAAUCACUUGACCAAUCCAUUUCUCAUCAAAAAGAAACCACUGAGUGACACUACUUGGGGUUUGUAGUCAUUGUUUCUGUUAAACUUAUUCUGACAGACAUCUAACUGUGGGUGCCUAAAGCCUUAACAGUCCCUAUAAUGAUGCACUGUGACAUAAGAAUAUGUUUUUAUACUGUAUAGGAAAAAUCUUCAAAAUUCAAUGUUGUAGGUUUGAGUUGCAUAUUUCAGCACUUAAUAUUGUAUUUCAAGCCUGUUGGUUUAUGUCUACAGUUAGAAUGCAGACUCUUCCUUUGAUAUUAAGUAAAUUGUUAGUGUGUUACACUAACCUUAUUUACCUAUGAAUAAUAUAACCUAUUAAAUUUUCCAAAGAUAUUUUGUAAUUGCAUUGGUUUAAGUAUUGUACAUUAUUGUAUUAACUUGAAGAAAAAAAAAUGUUCACAAUAUUUAGUUAAUUUGAAACAUUUGUGAACCUCAAUGCUUUUAAGUUUGUAGCUUGCUUUGGGGAAAAAAAUAGAAGAUAGAUUUUUGUAUUUCUUUCUCAAAAAUUAAGACUGUCUUGUCAUGUCUCCUAAACAAUUGACUAUUUACUAAUUAAAUAGUUAAAUCUGAAGUUAAAAUAAUUAAUUUGAACUUUAAGUUUCAGAGUUGGUACUGUAAAUACAUGAAUUGUGGUAUAUAAAAUCAAGUUUUAAAGGAAUUUAAGGUGUUUUGUCUUUAGUUAUCGGAUGGUUAUUUUUAUUUUUGAUUUUUUUAAAUAAAGACACCUCUUUACACUGUAAUUUUUGUUUCAUUUGAAUAUUUUUUAGCACUAAAACUUUGAAUAGUCAGUAUUUUGAACAUUGCAUUGUAAGCCCCACCUGACUGCACACCUCCUUAAACACAGUAACCUGUCUCUGACACUGAAGAGGUCCUGCAGCCAUGUGCAGUUCAUUUUUGAACUGUACAGAAAAAUGGCUGAAUGGUGGCAAUGUUAAAGUAUGAAAAGGAAUUUUAAAAGUGUAGCUGCUAUAUUUUGAAAAAGCAACGGGUUAACUUUUUUAAGAUUACUGCAUUAUGUAAAUUGAUGCUACUUGAUAAUAGGAAUAUUUAUUUUAUUUUUAUUCCUGCUUCAUCUCCAAAUGAACAAACUAGUACAAAUGCUAAUGAAGAAUUAUCAUAAUUUUUUUAUUUUUAAAUUCCCAAUAACCUUUAUAAUUGGUUACUGCAAAUUACAUAUGUCAUAAAUUAGAGCUUGAAGUAAAAUUUGCUGUUUUGUAGUAGUACACUCAGUGGUGCUAACAUAAGAAUAUUUUGUGGGAGCAAGAUUUGAAACACAAACAUACAAGAUGUCCAUCUGAAAACACAUUAGGAUGUGGGGACAGUAGAGAAUGAAAACUGUGUGUGUGGGUGUGUGUUGUAUAUGAAACACCUGAGUGUUUGAAAGUAAGGUAUGAAAAUGUAAUCCUCUUUUGCAAGAGCAUAUUGUUUACUUUUGAUAUUUUGUGUUUUUCUAAAUGCAUAAAAUGUGUAACGUAUAGGAUUAAAUGUUUCAGCAGACUGCACACUGUUUGAAAUGGCAUUAAAUGUCUUCAAAGUGUUGCCAAACUUAGAUACCAAUUUCUAGUUAUUUAUUUAGGGGAUGUAUAGUAUUUGAAAAGAGAUUUCUUGCACACAUCUUUGUGGUCUGUUUUGAUGUAACAGAAAUGGAGAAAAAGUGACUGUAGAUAAUUAACCAAGGUAGACUGACCUUGUUUGUAACUGUACUUGGGGCAAUAUUUUUCUCUGUACAUAAUAGCUGAAAAAUGGGUUUUAUGUUGACAUUGUUUGGUUAUAGUGCAAUAUAUUUUGUAUGCAAGCAGUUUCAAUAAAUAAAAUGUCAUCUUA